AGAAAUUAAAUGGGGACAAGAAAAUUGUGAUUUUUUUUUUUUUCUGCGUUCCAUCCAGAGUGAAUUAGAUAGACUUACAUGUGCUGUAAUUGUCAUGGUCCGUGGGAGUACCUGGAGGGGGUUUCCUUCUGGGGCUGUUGUGCCAUCCCUUUGGGGCAGAGACUUUGGUGCUUCAGCUGAGCCUCAGCUGCGAGCAAUCAGCGGGAGACCUACUUCAGCUGACUCGACCGGCUCCUCCUUGCCAGUUUGUUCUACCCUACUCGGUGCGGAGUUCCAAUCCUGGCUUUCACCUUCUGGGACAGUCCCCCGUCUCCCAGCCUACUUGUCCGCCUGCCCUCCAGACGCUUUCCACGGACAACAUCCUUCCCCUCGGUGAUACUAACCCAGACUGGCACAGUAAGGCGGACUAUUCUACAGUUUCUAGUUAUCUAAGCUUCAGUUUUCCCUCCCGAUUAUAACCACCUCUGUAAGCAUUCCUCGCCCGUGUUUGGUCUGGGAUUUUUUGGUCCACUUCCCUGGGUGAACCUGUUGGUUCAUGACAGUAAUAUUUGUAUGUAUUUUAUGAAGGCUCAUAAGCAUUAAAUUAAUUGUCAGACCAACACUUUGUAAAGAUAAUUUGUUUUCACAGAAAUAUUGAAAUGCUUUGGGGUAUGUAAAACUUAGGGUUGAAGAAGUUAAUGUUUUUGUUUCAUAUCAAAAUGUGAAGAGACGACAUGAAAGCAACAGGUGUUACUGUAUUCUAUCAGAACUGGAUCCAGCAGAAAUGUAUGAACCUGGUAAUGUGUUUGUUUUGCUUUUUUCUUUCAGAAUGGCCUUAAUGACGUUGACCACUAACCGGCCUGAGACGCCGUACUUCAGGCCCCCACCCAUUCACAUCUGGGUGUUAAAAUCUUGAGACCAGCUAAAGGUGAUCAGCUGGGAUAUCCAAGAUGGAGUGGUCAAACCACUGUUAACAAAAAAAAAUACGGUGGCAGCAAUCACUGACGGAGAGACAGUGGCAAAAAUUACUUUGUUUGAAGAAUUCUCAUCCAAAGAGGGCAUGUUUUACAUGAUGAGGAAAAAUGAACUGAGAGGCCAAGCUCCCCCUUAUCUAAUCAACAUCACAGUGAGGACACAGUUUUUUAAAGCUCCUGCCCUUGCAGUAACAGAGGCACUCAUCACAAAGGCGGAGGAGCUUCUUGAUCCACCUUUCCCAGCAAAACCACUGAGGAUGAGCCCAAUGUUUGGAGGGCUUAUGAGAGUGGAAGGGGAGGUUGUGGAGGUAUUGCUUUAGGUUUUCAAAGAAACCAUUACUUUUUUUGUCUUUAAUUGAAUUUUCAGUGUUCAGCAGUGAGGAAAGUUGUUGCAUGCAAACAGCAGGUGCCUAUACGAACGCUCCAGCUAAAGUAGGUAAUGGUGAAACUAAAGUGUAAUAUUAAAAGAGCCAGAGGAAGAGGCCCAGGGACAGCCAGGCUGUUCUUCAGUUUCUAAAAGACCAGGCCGAACGAGAGG